CCAGCCUCUUGCAUUUCCUCAUUGUGAUGCGAGCUCUGCUUUUGAGAACUUCACCCUGGAAGAGCAAAGGCAGGCAGGCGACGGAGUGGACCAAUACCUACAAGGUCCUCUUGAGAGGAAGGCAGCAGUAAUUGACCCUGUAACUAACUGAAUGCAUCUGGACUGUUGAAGAUGGAGAAAAUCAUCUCCAUGAGCAGAGCUAAAAAGAAACCUGGGAAUCCUUGAGAGCUGGAUGAAACCAUCACAAAAAAUGAAAAAGAAUCAUAAAUGAAUGAAGUCUUUGGAGAGAAAACUGCAAACUGACUCAAAGGAAAACCUUCCCUAGAUGAGGAAACUGAAAGAGAGAGAAGUUAAGGAACUGGCCAGUGUUCCGAAGGCAAGAUUUGAACACAGGUGCCUGACUCAAGACUUGUCCUCCUAACAACUAUGCUGUGGUGUCUCAUAAUAGAACUGUUUACGACAUGGCCUCAAACGUUCGUCAGCACAGAGCAGAUGACACAGGAUUCAAUAACACAAAUACAAACCAAGUAGUAGGAAUCUGUAGAAGGAAACAAAGUCCAGAUAAAGGAAAAGACUAAAACUCCGAUUCUGAGAAUAGACAAUGACUCCUGUCUCUCAUUGAUUAUUAU
rnacentral:lncRNA from 1 species